AUUGUACUUCAUCAGGUGCUCUGGUGGAUUUGAUCCAGGCAUCUCAUGGAGUGCAACUG
rnacentral:pre_miRNA from 1 species